GGCAAUCCCCUCAGGUCUUCCUUCGCUGUGUGGAAGCUUUGUUCUUUCGCUCUUUGCAGGAACUCUUGCUGCUGCUCGCUCUUUGGGUCCACGCUGCCUUUAGGAGCUGUAACACUCACGGCGAAGGUCCGCAGCUUCACUCCUGAGCCAGCGAGACCACGAGCCCACCGGGAGGAAAGAACAACUCCAGACGCGCCGCCUUAAGAGCUGUAACACUCACCGUGAAGGUCCGCAGCUUCACUCCUGAGCCGGCGAGACCACGAACCCACCAGAAGGAAGAAACUCCAAAGACGUUCAAACAUCAGAAGGAACAAACUCCGGACACGCCACCUUUAAGAACUGUAACACUCACCGCGAGGGUCCAUGGCUUCAUUCUUGAAGUCAGUGAGAUCAAGAACACACCAAUUCUGGACCCAGUAUCUCCCCAUACCCUAACUCCUUUCCCAAAGUAGGCAGAAAAACAGCCCUGUUGUUCCGGUGGAAGCCUUAGCUCUGUAUUCCUUUUAGACUGUAUUUCAAAACGCAUUAUUAGAGCCCCAAAGUCACCUGGUGAAAGAAUGUGAGAGCUGGAAGUGGCCUCAAAAUCCAGUUGAACCCUCUUAUUUCAUAUGUUUGGAAACUGAGCACUAGAAAAGAUGACUGCUGGAGCUCCUGCCUACUCCAGGAUGGCAGGAAGAAGGAAGGAAAGAAAAAGGCACACCUCUCCACUUUUAAGUAGCUUUGCUAGAACUCUCACAAAACACUUGUAUUACAUCUCAUCAGACUAUAAAUUCAAAGAAGACCAGGAAAUGUAGCUAUUAUCUGGACAACACUGGCCCAGCUAAAACUCAGAUUUCUGUUCCUACUGGAGAAGAAAAGACUAGAUAUUGGGAGGUAACUGGAAGUUUCUCCUGAGCAGGAUUUAGGUAUUAUACAAAACAACACGUUACUCUCUUGAUAUCUGUUUCCCUCAAUAUUUUAAAGCAAAUCUACUUAAAGCAGAGACCAAGUUUUUAUAGUGAAUGGUAAGGGGGAAGUUUUGAGUGGAAUUUUACCAUGAAAAAUGAUACUAAAAUUGUGAAAGCAUAUUUUA
rnacentral:lncRNA from 1 species